rnacentral:rRNA from 1 species
AGCAGCCGCGGUAAUUCCAGCUCCAAUAGCGUAUAUUAAAGUUGUUGCAGUUAAAAAGCUCGUAGUUGAAUUUCGGGAUCAAUUUAUUGGUCGUGCUAUUGUACGUACUGGUAUUAUUGAUUCCUACCUUCUGACGAACCAUGAUGUCAUUAAUUUGGUGUCAUGGGGAAUCAGGACUGUUACUUUGAAAAAUUAGAGUGUUUAAAGCAGGCUCACGCUUGAAUACAUUAGCAUGGAAUAACGAAAUAGGACGUUUGAUUCUAUUUUGUUGGUUUCUAGGAUCGACGUAAUGAUUAAUAGGGAUAGUUGGGGGCAUUAGUAUUCAAUUGUCAGAGGUGAAAUUCUUGGAUUUAUUGAAGACUAACUACUGCGAAAGCAUUUGCCAAGGAUGUUUUCAUUAAUCAAGAACGAAAGUUAGGGGAUCGAAGACGAUCAGAUACCGUCGUAGUCUUAACCAUAAACUAUGCCGACUAGGGAUCGGAUGAUGUUAAUUUUUUAAUGACUCAUUCGGCGUCCCG